UGUCCUGGGCUCUCCCAGUCCAGGCAGUACCCUCAGGAGGCAGGUACAAUGGAUAGAGAAGGAACACUGGACUUGGAGUCAGAAGACCUGAG
ensembl:miRNA Mir378b microRNA 378b